UACGGAGGGUGCAAGCGUUAUCCGGAUUCACUGGGUUUAAAGGGUGCGUAGGUGGCUAUUUAAGUCAGUGGUGAAAGCCUGCAGCUUAACUGUAGGACUGCCAUUGAUACUGAAUAGCUUGAGUACUGAUGAGGUAGGCGGAAUUGAUAGUGUAGCGGUGAAAUGCAUAGAUAUUAUCAAGAACACCGAUUGCGAAGGCAGCUUACUAAGGAGUUACUGACACUGAGGCACGAAAGCGUGGGGAUCAAACAGG
rnacentral:rRNA from 1 species